GACAGAUUGAAAGGCAGAAGGAAGGAAAGAAAGAAUAUGUUGAAGAACUCUAAUUACUCGAGCAGUGACCGAAACAUUAGCCAAAGAUUAGAGAUGGAAAGAGGAGAAGGGAGAGAGAGAGCGAGGAGUUUCUUACCAGCAGAAAAGCUGAGCCCAGUAUUAAGGCACGCUCCUUGGCGGUUAGCUUUGGAUCGCUAAAAUAGAUAUUUGUUGUAUAUUGCGAUUUGCUGGCCACCCAUUUGUGGUCUAUAGAAGCGCGCAGAUCGCCACCAGAAUGAAUCUAAAUAAGAAAUACAUACAUAUUAUAAAAGUAUUGGUAAAUAGAAGUAAACCCACCUUAAAGUAGCAUUCCUUGGGCAAACAAUAGCAGCAGAAGCCGGAAUUCGCGGGUCCUUCGACACAAAAGACUGGCUGAUGCGUAUUGCCGUCCUCAAUGUAGAACUCGGGCUGCGUAAAGGUGGGCGACUGCACGACACGACCCAGCACGUUGCCCGGCGGAAUCCAAAUCUCCAAGUUCUUGGGCUGGCAGCAAAUGGCGCCCAGUGCGAGCGUCUUGCGGAACACCAAAGCCUCCUGAUGUGUCUUGUCGAGCAAGUGCAUCUGGAAGGGCCGUCCGGAGCCCCAGAUCAUGCGGUUGUUCUGCGUGGAGCUCUCGGAGGCGGCGAAGAUGGCAUCGCCCAGGGGCGAGCGAACCACAUAACGAUUCUCCGACGAGACAGCUGUGAGAGCUAAAGAGAAUUUAAGUAGAUUAGACAAGAGAUCAACGAUGAACUCAUCUCACUCACAAUCGUUCAACUCAAAUGUCUGCUCGAUGUGCACAGACGGCAAAUCGGCGAGGCAAUCGUAGCCAGCCAGGGGUAUAAAGGUGCGACUGCCAGCAACUGUUGAAAUGGGCAAAGGUAUCCGAGGAGCAUCUACAAAGAUAGUGGAACGUAAUUUUAAUCAAAAAGUAUAAAUAGAGCAAUAUAGUAAGUAGAUUAUAAAUAGAAAUAUAUAUAUUGUCUAGCAAAUAUAACAACUUAUAUGAUAUAUACAGGGAUCAGUUACAAUUUCCAGCGACAGAAAGGUAAGACUCACCUGUUGUUGGUCGCGGCUGGGAGGUUAUGCUGAUUUGUCCAUCAAAAACUGUAAUUACAAGAAAAUGCAAAAAAAAAAAAAAAUACCUUUACUUCAAUUCACAGACUUAAAUGGGUUAGUGAAAUUCUUAUAAAUCGAUCAUUUGGUCAAUUGGAGAGGGCUAAACAAAGAAAAUGUCGAUAAGGCGUUCAUAAAACCAAAACAGAAACAGUUGCUGAUAAGAUACGGCCAGCUUGUACCUGCUGACACACACACUAAAACACAAAUACAGGCAGACAGCAGACCUAAUAAUCCAAUUGUUACAUACAACUAGCAGAAAUUAUCAGUUACUAAUAAGAAAUAUUAAACAUGAAUCAUUAGCAUUCCAA